GGGCGUGCUCAGCAAAUACACCAACCUCCUCCAGGGCUGGCAGAACAGGUACUUCGUACUGGAUUUCGAGGCUGGCAUCCUGCAGUAUUUUGUGAAUGAGCAAAGCAAACACCAGAAGCCUCGAGGAGUCCUGUCUUUAUCUGGAGCCAUAGUGUCCCUGAGCGAUGAAGCUCCCCACAUGCUGGUGGUGUACUCUGCUAAUGGAGAGAUGUUUAAACUGAGAGCUGCUGAUGCAAAAGAGAAACAAUUCUGGGUGACUCAGCUUCGAGCUUGUGCCAAAUACCACAUGGAAAUGAAUUCUAAGAUGAUGAACCAGGUGGAAGGGCAGCAGAAGAACCUUGUGCACGCCAUUGAGUCCCUGCCGGGGUCCGGCCCCCUCACUGCCUUGGACCAGGACCUGCUGCUCCUGAAAGCUACCUCUGCUGCCACCCUCAGCUGCCUUGGGGAGUGCCUCAACUUGUUACAGCAGAGUGUGCACCAGGCGGGCCAGCC
rnacentral:sRNA from 1 species